rnacentral:rRNA from 1 species
CCCUUCGAUGUUCGGAGCUGCACGCGCGCUACACUGUGGGUGGCAGCAUGUUAGCUUGCCUCGCUCGCAAGAGUGGGGUAAUCGUUUGAAAAUCCCACGUGAUUGGGAUAGGGACUUGUAAUUAUUUCCCUUGAACGAGGAAUCCCUAGUAAGUGCAGGUCAUCAGCUUGCGCUGAUUACGUCCCUGCCCUUUGUACACACCGCCCGUCGCUACUACCGAUUGGACGUUUUAGUGAGGAUUUUGGACUGAGCCAAUGGUGGUUCACACCACUGUUGUGCAUGGAAAGAUCUCCAAACUUGAGCGUUUAGAGGAAGUAAAAGUCGUAACA